rnacentral:lncRNA from 1 species
GAGAGGGCUACAUGCAGUAAUGAUAACGCCAAGAUGUGAGAAGAAGAAGAGAGACCUCUCCAGCUGUUAGUGAACACAUUCUCAUUAGGUUUUCAUUGCCUUUUAUGACACUGGCAUUUUUGAAGAGUACAUGCAAGUUGUUUUGGAGAAAAUAACUCAAGUUGGAUUUAUUGAUUGUUUCUUCAUGAGUAGUUCUUUGAUCAUUUGCUGGCUGGGAUAGAAGAUAUAUCAGGACACUGGGGACAAUAUUACUGGAAAGACAAGUGAGGAUUUGCCAAAAGUAUACCUGUGUAUAUGUAUAGAAAAAAAAGGAGUCUGUUUAUUUUUCUGUAUGUUUCUGUUGGCAGUAGUUGAGCUUUAUUCAUCCACAUGACAUUAAAAAGAUGACAGCUAAAAACAAAGGCAGAAAUCUUUCUUUUUCUUUCCCUCACCAGGAGAGACAUGAUUGAUAUAAAAUCCAGACUCUAAAACUAAAACAGUGUGCCAUAAAAUUUCUGGCCAUCCCUUUCUCUUGAGAAUAUUAUGCACAGAUACAGAGAAAGGGGGUUUACAUCAAAUCAUAUUGCUAUCCUAUGUAAACCUUCUAAUAUUUUGCCACUUAAAAAUAUCCAAACUUUUACCUUGGUUUAGAAAGCACUGCACCAACUGGCUAUUACGCUUUCUUGCCUCAUCUCAUACUAUUCUCCCUGUCAUUUACUACACUUCAGCCAUAUUGUCAUUCUGUCUGUUUCUUCAAUACAUUGAAUACAGCCCAUUUCUACCUUAAAGGCUUUGCAUAAUGUUCUCUUUGCCUGGGAUGUUCUACAUGAUCCUUUAAUGCCCAGAAUUUUCUUGUCAUUCAAGUUUUAGUUUAAUUUUGUCUCCUCAGAGAGUUUUCCCCUCACUGCUCAAUCAUUCUCUAUAUUAGUGGACUGUAAUUCUCUGAAGAACACAUAACUCUGAUAUUUUAAUACUUAAUCUUGCUUAUUAAAUAAUAUUUUUUAUUUUUAAUUUAAAAAAACAUUAUAAAAAUAUAUUGUUAUUUUUACUGUAUGUUUCUCUCCUACUAAAAUAUAAACUGCAUGAAGUUAGAGAUCUCG